rnacentral:rRNA from 1 species
CCUACGGGUGGCAGCAGUAGGGAAUCUUUCACAAUGGGCGAAAGCCUGAUGGAGCAACGCCGCUUGCAGGAUGAAGGCCUUCUGGUUUUAAACUGUUUUUAUAAGCGAGAGAUAUACUGGUAACUUAAGUAUAAUUAUCGUCUAACUACGUGCAGGCAGCUGCUGUCAUACGUAUGAUCCGGGCAUUAUCCUGAGUGACUGGGUGUAAAUAGUUGCGUAGUUGCCAUAAUAAGAAGCUAGUGAAAUCUGUUGGCGCAAAAAGUCAGACUAUUAUUUAAACUGUUAAGCUUGAGAGCAUUAGGGAGAACUGGAAUUUCAAGUGUAGGAGUGGAAUCCGUAGAUAUAUGAAAGAACACCAGUGGCGUAGGCAAG